UACGUAGGGUGCAAGCGUUAAUCGGAAUUACUGGGCGUAAAGCGUGCGCAGGCGGUUAUGUAAGACAGAUGUGAAAUCCCCGGGCUCAACCUGGGGACUGCAUUUGUGACUGCAUAGCUAGAGUACGGUAGAGGGGGAUGGAAUUCCGCGUGUAGCAGUGAAAUGCGUAGAUAUGCGGAGGAACACCGAUGGCGAAGGCAAUCCCCUGGACCUGUACUGACGCUCAUGCACGAAAGCGUGGGGAGCAAACAGG
rnacentral:rRNA from 1 species